AACGUAGGAGACAACCGUUAUCCGGAGUUACUGGGCGUAAAGGGCGUGUAGGCGGUUUGUUAAGUCUGGCGUGAAAGCUCUCGGCUAAACCGGGAGAGGUCGUUGGAUACUGGCGAACUAGAGGAUGGUAGAGGCGUGUGGAAUUCCGGGUGUAGUGGUGAAAUGCGUAGAGAUCCGGAGGAACACCAGUGGCGAAGGCGACACGCUGGGCCAUACCUGACGCUAAAGCGCGACAGCAUGGGGAGCAAACGGG
rnacentral:rRNA from 1 species